UAACCCACAUGUUAGUUGAGGAACAGCUUCAAGCUGGUCAUUUAGAGACUAUGCUCAGCCCUUGGAACACACCCAUCUUUAUAAUUAAGAAAAAAUCUGGUAAUUAGAGAUUAUCACAAGACCUUAGAGCUAUUAACCGUGUUAUAGAACCUAUGGGAGCAUUACAAUCUGGGCUUCGUUCUCCUACAGCUGUGACUUUAAAUUAUAAUUUGAUAGUAGUAGAUCUAAAAGGAUGUUUUUUCUCUAUACCUUUGCACCCAGAUGACUGGAAAAGGUUUGCCUCUAG
rnacentral:sRNA from 1 species